rnacentral:rRNA from 1 species
AUACGGAGGGUACAAGCGUUACUCGGAAUCACUGGGCGUAAAGCGCGCGCAGGCGGCUAUUUAAGUUGGAUGUGAAAGCCUACGGCUCAACCGUAGAACUGCAUCCAAAACUAUUUAGCUAGAGUGUGGGAGAGGAAGAUGGAAUUAGUUGUGUAGGGGUAAAAUCCGUAGAGAUAACUAGGAAUACCAAAAGCGAAGGCAAUCUUCUGGAACGCUACUGACGCUGAGGCGCGAAAGCGUGGGGAGCAAACGGGAUUAGAUACCCUAGUAGUCC